CUUGGAAAAGUAAAAUGAAGCUUCUAACUUCUAAAUAAGCGGUAGCUACUUAAUA
rnacentral:tRNA from 1 species